rnacentral:lncRNA from 1 species
CCCGCGCGCGCUCCCGUCCCUAGCGCCGCCACCGCCGCCGCCGCCGCCUCUAGCGCGGCCCCGCGCAGGCGCGCUCACGACCGCGUCGCCCCUCCCCCACCCCUCCGCUCGCCCCGCCCCGCUGGCUCCGCCGCCGCUACAGCUGCGGCGCGGCGCGCAGCUACAGAGACCCGGAUGUCGUUGGGCAGGAACUGCGGUGAGGGCUGGCGGGCGGGGGAGGGGCCGCCACAGAUGACGUCACUGCCUUACCCAGCUUCUUUCUCUGCCGCUGCUGCUGCCGCCGCCUUUGCCUUACGGCCUGGAGCACCAGGCCGAAGCCGAAGGGAGCGUCCGGAUCCCGGAUAGCAGCCAGGACCCGGGCCUUCACGUUCCGGCGCCAGGGACUGGACAGAAUGUGCGGCUAUUAGGUGCCCAGUAGAUCGACAGCCCCUCCGUGCCGGCCCUUGGCCAAGUAGGGACUCGGAAGCUACCCCUACGGCGUCCGCGCCCGGAGCCCUGGCUCUUCUACCUGCCUGCAGAUACAAACCCCACUCCCUGCGAAGAUGGUGUACACGCAGCCCCGAGCACAGACCCGAAGCUGUCCACCCUUCUUGGGCGCCGUCGCGGUCUGGCCGCUGCCCUUCGAACCCAUGUUCAGACAGGGUUUCACCGUGUUGGCCAGGAUGGUCUCGGUUUCCUGACCUCGUGAUCCACCCUCCUCGGCCUCCCAAAGUGCUGGGAUUACAGUCGUGAGCCACUGUUCCCGGCCAGAAUUCCUUAGAAGAUGAUCGUGGAUCAUUUCCACAUAUACAAAAUAAAAAUAAAAUUCACUAUGCAUUUGGUCUCAGUAUCAUCUGAGGAUACAUUUCCUAAUUCUCCACAUAUCUCCCCGACCCCCCAAAAAAAGAAAUUAGAUCAGAGAUCUUUGAAACGCUACCUUCUUGGAAUCCUUAAUACUCCAGGCAAGUAACAGCAUGAGUAGCAUGCUGGUGGACUCAUUAACAUUCUGAACUACAAAAGCUCAUAUGGCAACCAUUUAGAGUGCUCUUAAAAGACAAAUUUUCUUAUUUAUAAGCAGAAGCUGGGUCACUAGUGACGGUAGUGGACCAUAGAAAACUUGAAAUGCCUGCCUAUCUUUCUGCUUCCUUCCUUUAGGCUUCCACACCUUUCUUCUCUCUGUUCUGCACUUGGAGAAUCUGGGUCAAUUGUAGAAGAAGAGGGAGAGAAAUAGAAAAUAUGAACAGAAAGAAAUUUUUAAGGAGUCUACGCAUUGUACAGACUGCCGAUAAAGCAGCACCUUCCUACUAUUUAUUUCUGAAUACAGCUUGCAGGGACAUUUUGCCAUGUUGGAACUACAUUUGGAAAGGUGGUUGUUAAACAUUUCCCAGCACACACCUGGAUCUGCAUCUGCUGUGUCAAUUGAACCACUCACUGGUUCUGUGACCUCAGUUCUUCGUAGACUCUGGAAUGGAGCUGGAAGCUGUCAUCCUCAGCACACUAACGCAGGAACAGAAAACCAAGCACUGCAUGUUCCCACUUAUAAGUGAGAGCUGAACGAGCAGAACACAUGGACAUAUGAAGGGGAACAACACACUCUGGGGCCUGUGAGGUGCAGGGAGAGCAUCAAGAAGAACAGCUAAUGGUCCUUCAGCUUUGUGAAUGGAACAUGUACGUAUGACCUACAAGGGAUCAAGGGAAGACAAGGAUCCUCUGCUGGAAAGAUCUGCCUCCCUUACCAUUGCUGGACCCCUUUUGUGUGAGUUUUCUCCUUCAUGCCAUCUGUACCAAAGGUGACCAUUUGGUUCUGAAUCCAAACUCUAGAUUGUUCUUCUUAUAGUGCUUCAAAAGAAAGACUGCAAGCCCUAUUU